UCCAGUGAACUUUGCCUGUGACCCCCUCGGUCACCUCCAUCCCCUUGCUCAGUGCCUGGAGGUGCCUACUUGAACUCGCCCUGGGGAAAGGCUGGGGGGUCCAGUCCCCACCCACCCGGGUGGCUCCGGGUGUGGACUUCCUCUCAUUAAGGAUCAACUCUGAUUUUUACAGUGGCGUGUUGCUCAAUUCCAGGUUCCCGGCAGGAAAGAGGACAGUGUCUCUGAUAUAGUGACGCCUUCCAGAGUUCACCCCUGCACAAGCCAAGAUGCUCUGGCCCCUGGACGAGUCCCAGAACCAGGACCGAGCUGACAUCUCACCAGAUUUAGUGGGCAGCCCACCCUUCUCGGCCAGAAGAUAGGACUCCCCGCCUCUUCAGGUGACCCGGCUGAGGACGGCAGAGGAGACGGAAGAGGCCUGACCUGAGACACCAAACCAGGCGCGCUCCCGAGGUCAAAAGCCCGAAGCCCCUCCUCCUCAGGUCGGAGGACGCGCCGGGCUCUGGCAAGACCCCAUGGAAUGCCGCUAGAGCCGAGACCGCCAAGUUCACACGCAGGGCUGGCGUUCCGCUCCCCUCCCGCCGCCCCAGCAGUGGCGACCGACUGGAGACGAACACCGGUGGAAAGAAGCAGCAGCAAAGGCGCCUGGUUCUCCCUCCAGCGCCGUCUGCACUGCUCAAGGUGGGCAGCGGGAUCUUGGCCUCCGGGCGCAGCCCCCUAAACUCUCACUAGUGCUGUUCGGUGGCGGCCAAGCGUCCAGCGCUCCCGGGGCCGGGCCAGACGCUCCCGGCCAUUGACCCUUGUGAGGCGCCCGCUCGCCCCAUUUCACAGCAAGACAGGUCGAGUCCAGGGCGCCGUGCGCGUACGCAGGACCGAGUCCGAAAGGUCCGGCCCCCAACGGAACCGCGCGGGAGCCUUUCCAGGCGCCCUCCAUUCGUGCGACCACGGGCAGCUCACCGCACCUGGCCUUCACCUCGGUCAUUAAACUUUUCUUAAACUGA